AGCUAGUUGGUAAGGUAACGGCUUACCAAGGCGACGAUGUCUAGGGGGUUUGAGAGGAUGAUCCCCCACACUGGUACUGAGACACGGACCAGACUCCUACGGGAGGCAGCAGUGAGGAAUAUUGGGCAAUGGGCGCAAGCCUGACCCAGCCAUGCCGCGUGCAGGAUGAAGGUCCUAUGGAUCGUAAACUGCUUUUGUAUGGGAAGAACUUCCCGCAUUCGUGCGGGAUUGACGGUACUAUACGAAUAAGGACCGGCUAACUCCGUGCCAGCAGCCGCGGUAAUACGGAGGGUCCAAGCGUUAUCCGGAUUCACUGGGUUUAAAGGGUGCGUAGGUGGAACGAUAAGUCGAUGGUGAAAGCCUACAGCUUAACUGUAGAAUUGCCAUUGAUACUGUUGUUCUUGAGUAUAGUCGGGGGAAGUGGAAUGCGUAAUGUAGCGGUGAAAUGCAUAGAUAUUACGCAGAACACCGAUCGCGAAAGCAGCUUCCUAGGCUAUUACUGACACUGAGGCACGAAAGCGUGGGGAGCGAACAGGAUUAGAUACCCUGGUAGUCCACGCCGUAAACGAUGCUCACUCGCUGUUGGCGAUAUAUUGUCAGCAGUUGAGCUAAAGCAUUAAGUGAGCCACCUGGGAAGUACGUCCGCAAGGAUGAAACUCAAAGGAAUUGACGGGGGCCCGCACAACCGGUGGAACAUGUGGUUCAAUUCGAUGAUACGCGAGGAACCUUACCUGGGCUUAAAUGUAGUUUGACUUCCGCCGAAAGGCGGUUUUCCUUCGGGACAAAUUACAAGGUGCUGCACGGCUGUCGUCAGCUCGUGCCGUGAGGUAUCGGGUUAAGUCCCUUAACGAGCGCAACCCCUAUUGUUAGUUACCAACAGGUUAAGCUGGGGACUCUAGCAAAACUGCCAGCGUAAGCUGGAGGAAGGUGGGGAUGACGUCAAGUCAGCAUGGCCCUUACGUCCAGGGCUACACACGUGUUACAAUGGCCGAUACAAAGGGCAGCCACCACGCGAGUGGGAGCUAAUCCUUAAAAUCGGUCUCAGUUCGGAUCGAA
rnacentral:rRNA from 1 species